rnacentral:snRNA from 1 species
GUGCUCACUUUGGCAGCACAUAUACUAAAAUUGGGACAAUACAGAGAUUAGGGUGGCCCCUGUGCAAGGGUGACAGGCAAAUUUGUGAAUUUUUUUAAAGACUU